GGGACGAGGGCGGGGCGGCUCUCAGGUCCCCGCACGCGUUUCCGGACGGAGCGAUCCGUGCGGCCGGCCGAGCGGGCCUUCGCGGUGGCUGAUGCAAGCCAUGGGGAAGGCUGGGGGUGUCGCGGCGCGCAGGAAGGGUCUGGGGGCCCCGGCGGGAGGCCGCGCGAGACCCAACCCCAACCCGUUCGAAGUGAAGGUCAACCGGCAGAAGUUCCCGGUCCUGGGCAGGAAGGCGCGCCACGCCGUGGGGCUGCCCGGGGUGUCGCGCGCGCGGGCCGUCCAGAAGCGUACCCAGACGUUACUAAAGGAGUACAAAGAAAGGGAUAAGUCCAAUGUAUUCACAGAUAAGCGCUUUGGGGAAUACAGUAGCAACAUGAGCCCAGAGGAAAAGAUGAUGAAGAGGUUUGCCCUGGAACAACAGCGACAACAUGAAAAGAAAAGCAUCUACAACCUCAACGAAGAUGAAGAAUUAACUCAUUACGGCCAGUCUUUGGCAGAUGUCGAAAAACAUAAUGACAUUGUCGAUAGUGACAGUGAUGCUGAGGAGAGAGGAACGCUGUCUGCCGAGCUGACCGCCACCCAUUUUGGAGGUGGUGGUGCCCUCCUUCACAAGAAAACUGCUCAGCAGCAAGGCGAGGAGGGGGAGAAACCACGGUCACGCAAAGAACUGAUUGAAGAGCUCAUUGCAAAAUCAAAACAGGAGAAGAGGGAGAGGCAGGCACAGCGAGAAGAUGCCCUGGAACUCACAGAGAAGCUGGAUCAGGACUGGAAAGAGAUCCAGACCCUCCUUGCACACAAAACACCCAAGUCUGACAACAAGGACAAAAAGGAGAAGCCCAAGCCUGACGCAUAUGACAUGAUGGUCCGUGAACUUGGCUUUGAAAUGAAGGCCCAGCCCUCUAACCGGAUGAAGACACAAGAGGAACUGGCGAAGGAGGAGCAGGAGCGGCUUGAGAAGCUGGAGGCUGCCAGGCUGCGGAGAAUGCUCGGAAAGGACGAGGAUGGCGGCACUAAAAAACCAAAACAUCAGUCAGCGGAUGACUUAAAUGACGGCUUUGUCCUGGACAAGGACGACAGGCACUUGCUUUCUUACAAAGAUGGAAAGGUGAGCACCGAGGAAGAGCAAAGCAGGGAAGCCGGUGAUGACAACAGUGACGAGGAACAGGAUGAAGGCCCGAGCGAGGACUCAGAGGAGAGCAGUGGCCCUGAUGGGCACUCGGACCUGGAAUCGGACGUGGAGAGCGAGGAGGACAGAGAGACCCAGCAGGCUCCAGGGAAAAGGCUGAAAAGCGAUGGUCACAAAGCUCGAGAAGCUGCCAGAACAGAGCUGCCCUAUACCUUUGCAGCCCCUGAGUCCUACGAGGAACUUAAAUCCUUAUUAUCAGGGAAAUCGAUGGAAGAGCAGCUCUUGGUGGUGGAGAGAAUUAAGGCCUGCAACCACCCCAGCCUCGCGGUGGGAAACAAAGCGAAAUUAGAAAAACUGUUCGACUUCCUCUUGGAAUACAUUGGAGAUUUGGCUACAGAUGACCCACCAGACCUCAGAGUGAUUGAUAAAUUGGUUGUGCAGUUAUACAAUCUUUGCCAGAUGUUUCCUGAAUCUGCAAGCGGCUGCAUACAAUUUGUCCUCCGAGAUGCCAUGCACGAGAUGGAAGGAGCGAUUGAGGCCAGAGGCCGGGCGGCGUUUCCAGGCCUGGACGUGCUCAUUUAUUUGAAACUGGCUGGGGUGCUGUUUCCAACCUCUGACUUCUGGCACCCCGUCGUGACGCCUGCACUCGUGUGCAUGAGCCAGCUGCUCACCAAGUGUCCCGUCCUGUCCCUCCAAGACGCGGUGAAGGGCCUGUUCGUGUGCUGCCUGUUCCUGGAUUACGUGUCCCUGUCUCAGAGGUUCAUACCCGAGCUUAUCAAUUUUCUCCUCGGGAUUCUCUACAUCGCAACUCCAAACAAGCAAAGCCAAGGUUACACUCUGGUGCACCCUUUCAGAGCAUCUGGGAAGAAUUCAGAGUUGCUUUUGGUUUCUGAUGAAGAGGACAUAGCCACAUGGCAGAGGAGAGGCCUCUCCCUCCACUGGGCAAAUGGACUGAAGGCCCAGACUAAGACGGAGGCCAACCACAUGAGACUGUCCUGCCUGGCCGUGUGUCUGGCUCUGGUGAAGCACUGCGUGCUCACGUACGGCCCCCUGCCAUCCUUCCACGACAUCGUGCGGCCCCUCCGGGCCCUGCUGACGGAGCACCUGGCCGCCUGCAGUCACCCCCAGGAGCUCCAGCAGAUGUCUUCAACAGCUGCCGGUUCUGUGGCACGUCUUUUGGUCGUGCCUUCGUUAAACUCCAGACCCUCCUUCCCGUGGGUGCCCCGCCUCCCCACCCUGUCUCCUCUGGAGUCGUCCCCAGCCGGCCAUAGGCUUCUGUCCGAGGGGCCGUCAGGGCCAUCAGAAGGCGAAGGCGGGACUGUGGUGUGUCAGGCCAGGCGAGCUGGCACACUCCCUUCACCCGCUCGGACCCCGUCAUCUGCAGAGUUGACACUGGCCCUUUUCUCUGCCUGGAGCACUGUCCCUAAAGACCGGCGGCUCAUCCCCUCGCUUUCCUCAGGAAGCCAGGCCGUCCGGAAGGGAGUGGCCCCUGCUGCUCACCCCUCCCUGGCCUCUCCUCCACAACACAUUGUCAUAUCUCUCCCCUGCUAGCACAGGGACAGGCCGUGUCCGUGAGGACAGGAGCUCAGCCGUCCCUUGUUGGACACCCUCCGAGCCCGGGCGGUCCACACGGAGUCACCUCAGCACGUAGAGAUUGAUGAGGCUAAGAUGUCAAUAGCUAUGUCUUACUGUAGGUGUGGCUGUGGCUUGUCCUUUAAAGGACGGAGUGGCUCUCUGGUCCUGCGGGAGGGGCCUCGAUGGUGCUAAUGGACCCGGGGCGAGCCAAGCGGGCUGUGCCUCACGUGCAGUUCCUGUGGAGAUGGGGCUUUUGGCCUCAGAAGCAACUGUGUGGGCCGGGGGUGAGGGGUGCUGUGCCCGUGGUGCCAGAGGCCUGAGUUCCAGGACACAGCUGUGUGAGGGGAAAGGAACCGUCAGUAUGCCGGCUUCUAGAAGGUUCCUCAGAAGUCACAGCCGUGGUGAAGGACCUGUGCCGGAGCGCGCUGGCCGCCAUGGGGAAGCAGGAACGGCGCUACCGGCCGCUGAUCUGUGAGAAGAGCAGGCCCGUGCCACUGAAGCUGUUCACCCCCCGACUGGUCAAA